rnacentral:rRNA from 1 species
UAAGAGGUCCAGCCUGCCCAGUGACUAAUGUUCAACGGCCGCGGUAUCCUAACCGUGCGAAGGUAGCGUAAUCACUUGUUCUUUAAAUGAGGACUAGUAUGAACGGCACCACGAGGGUUAUACUGUCUCCUCUCUCUAAUCAGUGAAACUAAUCUCCCCGUGAAGAAGCGGGGAUAAAACUAUAAGACGAGAAGACCCUAUGGAGCUUUAAACUUAUCCUCAAACGCCAAAAUCACAUAUCAAGUUUCAAACUUCACCACAUGAACUCUCGCGCCAUGAGGACAAUUUUAGGUUGGGGUGACCAUGGAGUAUAAAAUAACCUCCAUGCUGAAUAGGCCUCCAAGCCUUGAGCCAAGGGCUACGACCCAUCGCACUAAAAUAUUAACAUCCAUUGAUCCA